GAAGGAAUGUGGAAUCGCUGGCAACAACUUCCACUUUUUCUCCGUUACUGUGCACAUACGCUGCAUCCCGAAGUCGCUGUCAGUCUAUGACCGUUAACGCUAACGCGAUAUCACCACAAAAUAAGGGCUAUCAAAUUGUCAGCGUGUCGCAAUUCUUCUACAGCCUCUCUCUCUGCCACGAAAUGUUUAUGUUUGGGAUUCCCUGGUCUUUGAUCCGGAAAAGUUCCCCAGAGCGAAUCUAGCUGAAAGAUUUGAAACAAAUACACAAAAUUGCUCAAGAAACUCAGCAGCAUCCGUGAUUUCCAGAAGCGCACUACGUUGCUCUGAUUCCAGUUGUAAACGCUUAAGGUCCAUCUUUUACCCGAAAAAGUUCCUGAUUAUAUCUUUAAGAUUUGGCGUUAAAGUGCUAGAGGGAGAAUGGAAAAAAAAACGGAAAAUGUCGGAGAAUGCCAGCAGGGAUUGACAAAUCUGUUCUUGGCGUUAACAAUAACUACAUACAGUUCCAAUUGUCACCGAGAAGGGCGUCCUAUUUUAACGUUGUUUCCAUUCCGCUGGUUGCUACACUUCAAUCGAAUGUUUAUUAUUGUUGUUGCCUGGCAACGUUCGAUACAUUCGAACAACACAUGAUGAGUUACGACACUGUUGGUUGGUGGAACUCAUACAGAGACCGUCCUGAUUGGCAGUGUGAAGAGCUUGUGACUCCAGCCCCUGCCAUCACUGGAAGUUGCAAUGGAUCCUGAGUGUGCUCAGUUUCAAGUUUCGGAAACGGCUGAAAUUGUAGAUCAGCUGACAAAACCCGAAACUGUAGUGACUGGAGGUCAGAGGUAUCCUGGUCGAUCCCUCUUUGGUACUACGUUGGAUAGCAAAGGUUUCUACAAAGGGUUAUCAGAAGAAGAACAAAAUGUUGCCGCUGUGCCAAGUGAUGCACAGCCAGGUCAUCAGUUGGAACAGCACAGGUGCAAGACUGAAUCCGUAAACAUUCCUAAAUCUGGGAAUUGCCUAGAUUUUUCGAGAAUGACAAGCCCAAAAUCAGGAAGUGCCAGUGGCACCAAACAGGACGUCAGAGACUGCAGCUCUGAACCAAAGAGAUCUCACAAAACAUCUCUCGAUGGAAGAAUCACUGGGAAACAAAUUGACAGAGAGAGAUCCUCUGUGUGCAGCACACCAAGUGCAAUGACCAAUGGCUUACAGUCACCAUCGUCUGAGGCUCUGGGACAGCCCCCCAGUCAAGAAGUCAAGUGUGUAAUUCCCCAAAAUAUUAAGCAUAAGUUUAGAACCGAUAUUGUGGAUGAGCUGCUAACGGAUGACGAGGUUAAGGAGUUCUUGAAUAAGAAAGAGAUGCCAGCAAAGAGCUUGGAUUCAGAGGUUCCCUUGGUACAGUCACAGGAGCAACCCACUGAUGAAAUAACUUGGUAUGAAAAAAUAGGCUACCCUCUCCGAUGCAACAUCUUUCCAGGUUUCUCGGAUAAAUGGCAGAGCGAGGUACAAUCUACCUACACGAAGGAGGUGCAUCACCGUUUCAGGCGUAGCCCAGACCACUGGCAUGGUAGAACGACGGAUCAUUUGGUUUUGGUUAAAGAACAAAUGUUAAAAUGAACAUCAAGAUCCUUAUUCAUCGAAUUGUGUCUGGGGAUUUUUACUUCCGUGUGAGAGGGCAGAUGGAACCUUUAAUUUAAUGACGCAUCUCAAACGUGCCAUCUCCAACAAUGCAGCGAUCCUGGGAAGGGUCAGCCUUGGAUUUUUGUGCUCCAUUCUCCAGAGUGGGAUGUGAAUCCGUGAUCUUCUGACACCGAGGCAAAAAGUGUUACCAACUGAGCCACCUCUGACACUAAGUGAGUGGCACUGCAGGGAGAAUCUUUAUCGAGCAGUUAUGUGGCAAUUGUUUGGGAUAGGGAGAGAAAUUGGACAAUUGUUCGGGUCAUUUUCCUUAUUCUGCUGUUUAAAGGUGUCUGACUACCGAGCUCCUUGCCUGCGAAAGGCUGUCAAGGAACCUCCAGUAGUGUAUCAAAGAGCAGCUGAAAUUAACCAGGAGCUGGCCUAGGGUUAUCUCAGCAGUUUAAGUGGGCAAAAUCACUGUUACCACAGCCUAAGCCACCCAAAUCACUGAAGAGAGUCAUAACCGAACUGAAGAAAAUUGCCCAAAAGCCAGAAAUGAUGCUGCAAAGCCUGCGAAUGCAGUGCCAAUGGAAUCUUGGAGACAAACUGCAACAGCAAUAAGGCUUUGGUCAAAUGUUAAAAGAGUACUUCCACGAAACGGGCAAGAGCAUCAAUAACAAGAGGACACCAAUUUCGGAUACUGUAAUUAGCAAAGAUGAAAUAAUGAGGAAGAUUUAAGAGAGUCUCUUUAAUUU